CGGCGGACGGGUGAGUAACGCGUGGGUAACCUGCCUCAUACAGGGGGAUAACAGUUGGAAACGGCUGCUAAUACCGCAUAAGCGCACAGUACCGCAUGGUACGGUGUGAAAAACUCCGGUGGUUUAGAGAUGGACCCGCGUCUGAUUAGGUAGUUGGUGGGGUAACGGCCUACCAAGCCGACGAUCAGUAGCCGACCUGAGAGGGUGACCGGCCGCAUUGGGACUGAGACACGGCCCAA
rnacentral:rRNA from 1 species